rnacentral:rRNA from 1 species
CCUACGUGAGGCAGCAGUGAGGAAUAUUGGUCAAUGGGCGCGAGCCUGAACCAGCCAAGUAGCGUGAAGGAUGACUGCCCUACGGGUUGUAAACUUCUUUUAUAAAGGAAUAAAGUGAGGCACGUGUGCCUUUUUGUAUGUACUUUAUGAAUAAGGAUCGGCUAACUCCGUGCCAGCAGCCGCGGUAAUACGGAGGAUCCGAGCGUUAUCCGGAGUUAUUGGGUUUAAAGGGAGCGUAGAUGGGUUGUUAAGUCAGUUGUGAAAGUUUGCGGCUCAACCGUAAAAUUGCAAUUGAUACUGGCAGUCUUGAGUACAGUUGAGGUAGGCGGAAUUCGUGGUGUAGCGGUGAAAUGCUUAGAUAUCACGAAGAACUCCGAUUGCGAAGGCAGCUUACUAAACUGCCACUGACAUUGAUGCUCGAAAGUGUGGGUAUCAAACAGGAUUAGAUACCCUAGUAGUC